CCAGACAGCCAGGAUGUUGGCUUAGAAGCAGCCAUCAUUUAAAGAAAGCGUAAUAGCUCACUGGUCGAGUCGGCCUGCGCGGAAGAUGUAACGGGGCUAAACCAUGCACCGAAGCUGCGGCAGCGACACUGUGUGUUGUUGGGUAGGGGAGCGUUCUGUAAGCCUGUGAAGGUGGCCUGUGAGGGUUGCUGGAGGUAUCAGAAGUGCGAAUGCUGACAUAAGUAACGAUAAAGCGGGUGAAAAGCCCGCUCGCCGGAAGACCAA
rnacentral:rRNA from 3 species